GUAACCUUCUAUGCUUAAAUUACUAUACUCAUAAGUUGCCAGUAGCUGUUGUAUACCUCUAUACAAUACCUGGAAGAACUCAGUAACUCCCAAUAAUGCCCGCCAUCCAGCACUGCCUCCUAACAAUGAGACCGCUAAUUUAAAAAAAAAAAAGUCACCCUUCGGUAACAUAAAUAAGCCCUAAGAAAACCACCCAAAAUAAAGUGAGUCAAAAGGUGAGAGAAGCGUACAAGGCGCCCAACAUGCGUUUCGGCGCUACUACAAUGCGCCUUUGUCCGGGGCUAAUGUCAAGACACCCUCCGCUCGUUAAUUAGGUAUGUGAAAGUGAUACAUACUCACUUUCUGUAUACCUAGUGGCCAUCUGUUUUUAAUGUGUGCUACUUAGGGCACAUGACCUCACUAUUAUUACAGAGUAUCCAUCUUAUUUCUCCCAGAUAUGAUGGAUCUCUUUUUUGGGAGAUUAUAG